rnacentral:rRNA from 1 species
GAUGGACGCUGGCGGCGUGCCUAAUACAUGCAAGUCGAGCGAAUGGAUUAAGAGCUUGCUCUUAUGAAGUUAGCGGCGGACGGGUGAGUAACACGUGGGUAACCUGCCCAUAAGACUGGGAUAACUCCGGGAAACCGGGGCUAAUACCGGAUAACAUUUUGAACCGAAUGGUUCGAAAUUGAACGGCGGCGUCGGCUGUCACUUAUGGAUGGACCCGCGUCGCAUUAGCUAGUUGGUGAGGUAACGGCUAACAAAGGCAACGAUGCGUAGCCGACCUGAGAGGGUGAUCGGCCACACUGGGACUGAGACACGGCCCAGACUCCUACGGGAGGCAGCAGUAGGGAAUCUUCCGCAAUGGACGAAAGUCUGACGGAGCAACGCCGCGUGAGUGAUGAAGGCUUUCGGGUCGUAAAACUCUGUUGUUAGGGAAGAACAAGUGCUAGUUGAAUAAGCUGGCACCUUGACGGUACCUAACCAGAAAGCCACGGCUAACUACGUGCCAGCCGCCGCCGUAA